CAGUAGCCGCGGGAAUACGUAGGUGGCAAGCGUUGUCCGGAAUUAUUGGGCGUAAAGGGCUCGCAGGCGGUUUCUUAAGUCUGAUGUGAAAGCCCCCGGCUCAACCGGGGAGGGUCAUUGGAAACUGGGAAACUUGAGUGCAGAAGAGGAGAGUGGAAUUCCACGUGUAGCGGUGAAAUGCGUAGAGAUGUGGAGGAACACCAACGGCGAAAGCACUCUGCUGGGCCGACACUGACACUGAGAGACGAAGGCUAGGGGAGCAAAUGGGAUUAGAUACCCCCGUAGUCCCUGUCUCUUAUAC
rnacentral:rRNA from 1 species